GUUGGUCCAGUCUCUUACUUGUUGCUUUCCAAGGCUGCCAAGGGUGUUGACAAGUCCUUUGAUCUCCUUUCCCUUCUACCAAAAAUCCUCCCUGUCUACAAGUAAGAAAUCACUUUUUAUUAUGGGAUCCAUACUAUUGAUUUUAUGAAUGAUCCUCUGACAUUACAUUGCUAUGAUGACUUUAAUUUGUGUACAGGGAAGUGAUUUCUGAGCUUAAGGCAGCUGGUGCCACCUGGAUUCAGCUUGACGAGCCUGUCCUUGUUAUGGAUCUUGAGGGCCACAAGCUUCAGGCCUUUACCGGUGCCUACGCUGAGCUUGAAUCAACUCUUUCUGGUUUGAAUGUUCUUGUGGAGACCUACUUCGCUGAUAUCCCUGCUGAGGCAUACAAGACCCUAACAUCGUUGAAGGGUGUGACUGCCUUCGGGUUUGAUUUGGUUCGUGGCACCAAGACCCUUGAUUUGGUCAAGGCUGGUUUCCCAGAGGGAAAAUACCUCUUUGCUGGUGUUGUUGAUGGAAGGAACAUCUGGGCCAAUGACUUUGCUGCGUCUCUAAGCACCUUGCAGGCACUUGAGGGCAUUGUUGGUAAAGGUAAUAUGUUUGUCCAGAAUCAUUUGCGUUUUACCUGAAAAUAUUGGGAAUUACUGAAAACAUAUAAUUGAAAUGCUUAUCUGUUAUCUUUUUGUAUUUAUGCAGACAAGCUUGUGGUCUCAAC
rnacentral:lncRNA from 1 species